AACUUCCCACUACCCUUGCUAUGGCCGGCCAUCUUAAGUGAUUUGGCUAUUUGCCCAUAUUUGUUUUAGUUGUUAUACAACUUAAACAUAAUGGGCCUAGUGGACCAAAACCUUUUGGACCCCGAAGCCCAAAACUAACUUAAAAGCCCAAUACGAACCUUUCGUAAAAUUAAUUAACUAAUUAAUUAAUCUUGACCAUUCUCAAUUAAACCAUUUAAUUGCUUAUCCAUCUCAUUUAUAUUUCUUCAUUUUCAUCUUUACUCGGUGUACGAUCCAUUAGGUUCCAAUUAGCGAGGCAGUGGGCGAUUGUUACUCUUAACAAUCGAUUAUGAAUUGAAACUACAUUUCAAUUCUCCCUUUGAUUAAGAUUAGUUUUUGCUAAUCUUCAGGGCUUGCACAAACCAUGAGUGACACCUAGCAGUAUGUCAUGGUUACCCAAGCUAAGUAGAAGUGGUUGGAGAACCUAUCCAGUUACAACUACAACGCAAUACGGUCCUUCUCUAAUA
rnacentral:lncRNA from 1 species